GCCCCUGUAGCUCAGUGGAUAGAGCAGUAGUUUCCUAAACUACGUGCCGGGUGUUCGAUUCGCCCCAGGGGCA
rnacentral:tRNA from 5 species